rnacentral:rRNA from 1 species
UACGUAGGGGGCAAGCGUUGUCCGGAAUCAUUGGGCGUAAAGAGCGUGUAGGCGGCCCGGUAAGUCCGCUGUGAAAGUCCAGGGCUCAACCCUGGGAUGCCGGUGGAUACUGUCGGGCUCGAGUCCGGAAGAGGCGAGUGGAAUUCCUGGUGUAGCGGUGAAAUGCGCAGAUAUCAGGAGGAACGCCGAUGGCGAAGGCAGGUCUCUGGGCCACUACUGACGCUGAGAAGCGAAAGCAUGGGGAGCGAACAGG